rnacentral:rRNA from 1 species
AGAGUUUGAUCCUGGCUCAGGAUGAACGCUGGCGGCGUGCCUAAUACAUGCAAGUCGAACGCACCAUUUCGGUGGUGAGUGGCGAACGGGUGAGUAACACGUGGGUAAGAGUAACACGUAGGUAACCCGCCCUUAAGACGAGGAUAACCAAGGGAAACUUUGGCUAAAACUGGAUAGGAACAUAAGAGGCCUCUCUAAUGUUUUAAAAGACCUAGCAAUAGGUAUGCUUAAGGAGGGGCCUGCGUCAGAUUAGUUAGUUGGUGAGGUGAAGGCUUACCAAGACGAUGAUGCGUAGCCGGACUGAGAGGUUGAACGGCCACAUUGGGACUGAGAGACGGCCCAAACUCCUACGGGAGGCAGCAGUAGGGAAUUUUCGGCAAUGGGGGAAACCCUGACCGAGCAACGCCGCGUGAAUGACGCAUUACUUUUAUCAGGGAAGAAUGGCUAGCGGAAAAGCUAGAUUGACGGUACUUGAUGAAUAAGCCCCGGCUAACUACGUGCCAGCAGCCGCGGUAAUACGUAGGGGGCAAGCGUUGUCCGGAAUUAUUGGGCGUAAAGGGUGCGUAGGUGGUUAAUUAAGUCUUUGGUAUAAGUGCAGUGCUCAACUCGGAGACUGCUCCUGAAACUGGUAGACUUGAGUGCAAGAGAGGGAAGUGGAAUUCCUAGUGUAGCGGUGAAAUGCGUAGAUAUUAGGAGGAACACCAGUGGCGAAGGCGACUUCCUGGCCUGUAACUGACGCUGAGGCGCGAAAGCGUGGGGAGCAAACAGGAUUAGAUACCCUGGUAGUCCACGCCGUAAACGAUGAGUGCUAGGUGUCGGGGGUAUCGACCCCCUCGGUGCCACAGCUAACGCAAUAAGCACUCCGCCUGGGGAGUACGGUCGCAAGACUGAAACUCAAAGGAAUUGACGGGGGCCCGCACAAGCGGUGGAGUAUGUGGUUUAAUUCGACGCAACGCGAAGAACCUUACCAAGGCUUGACAUCCUGUGCAUUCGAAAUAUUGUCUUCUUAGUUUACUAAGACACAGAGACAGGUGGUGCAUGGUUGUCGUCAGCUCGUGUCGUGAGAUGUUGGGUUAAGUCCCGCAACGAGCGCAACCCCUAUCCUCAGUUGCUAAAGUUGGGCACUCUAGCGAGACUGCCGGUGACAAAUCGGAGGAAGGUGGGGACGACGUCAAAUCAUCAUGCCCCUUAUGUCCUGGGCUACACACGUACUACAAUGGCGUAUACAGAGAGAU